AACCACGUUCUGCCUUUAUGAGACAGUGUGGGUGGUGGGAGUUUAAAAAGCUGUCAGACUUUUUUAAAUCUAUGUUUACCACAAUGGGGAGCUCUGUAAACACAUGGGUUUGCCACAACAUUAUUCCAACAAGCCAGCGUACUUUGAUCCAGGGCUCACUGAGGUUUCUCCAAUGAGGAACUGACUUGACUCCAGGGCAGAGAAGAUUUCAAGAUAUCCAAUCAGGAAACACCCUUAAGCACUGAGAGAGCUGGAGGGAAGGUUUUAUCAGCUUGGCUAUACAAGCUUAAUGUGACCAUGGACACAGUGAGAUGAAAACAGGAAAGCGAGGCAAGGUGCAUUCAAGGUACAUUCAAAAAACAUCAGGUGUUACAUAUCAUAACCCCGGAAGAGAGCUUGUCUCAUUUUCUCUGUUCACCACACGGAAAUUAUUGACCCUGUUAUACGACAUGAAUAUAACUGAUUAAAGAUUGCA